rnacentral:rRNA from 1 species
UGGGGAAUAUUGCACAAUGGGCGCAAGCCUGAUGCAGUCAUGCCGCGUGUAUGAAGAAGGCCUUCGGGUUGUAAAGUACUUUCAGCGGGGAGGAAGGCGAUGCGGUUAAUAACCGCGUCGAUUGACGUUACCCGCAGAAGAAGCACCGGCUAACUCCGUGCCAGCAGCCGCGGUAAUACGGAGGGUGCAAGCGUUAAUCGGAAUUACUGGGCGUAAAGCGCACGCAGGCGGUUUGUCAAGUCGGAUGUGAAAUCCCCGGGCUCAACCUGGGAACUGCAUCCGAAACUGGCAGGCUUGAGUCUCGUAGAGGGGGGUAGAAUUCCAGGUGUAGCGGUGAAAUGCGUAGAGAUCUGGAGGAAUACCGGUGGCGAAGGCGGCCCCCUGGACGAAGACUGACGCUCAGGUGCGAAAGCGUGGGGAGCAAACA